GCGGGUAUAGUUUAGUGGUAAGA
rnacentral:tRNA from 1 species